UCGGCUGGGGGGGGUUCAUCCCCAUGUGGUAUUUGCUAUUGCCUGGGUUGACGUACAUGUUGGCGUUCUUGC